AAAGGACAUAAAAGUAAAAUCAUGACACCAUAGGGUACUAUAAAAUAACCUCUGGGGGGACAAAAGCUAACGAUAUUUUUGGUGAAUGAACUCGAGACGGAAAGAAUGAGGCAGCGGAGAGGUAGUGGGGAGUCUCUAAUGGUGGUUGCCCUCUCUCUGUUUCCUAUGAUUUCCUUUUCCAUUUUCACCAAACGGGGCACUAAUAAACCACCAUUCAUCUUAAGUGUUUAAUUGGUCUAGCUCUGAUCUAUACACACACACACACAUAUAUAUAUAUAUAUAUAUACACACACAAUAGGUGAAAAAGGGUUUAGGAUUUAAAACCUAACCCUUUUUCCCUGCUGCUUCUUCUUCCUCAUCAUCAAAAUUAUUAUUAUUAUUAUUAUUAUUAUUAUUACUCCCCUUUUUGCUGCUUCUUCUUCUUCUCCUUCCUCAUCAGCAAAAUUAUUAUUACUCCCUCCGUUACAAUUUAUUGUUACUGUAUCGGAUGAGAGGCUGUGAUGAUUAAGGUGUCGUCUAGAGUUCGUCGGGGUAAUGGAGCAGCCCGUAUCUUGGCGGGGCGACCCGGAAGGUACUAUUUUAAUAGUGCAACUGCGGUUUGCAGCCAUGGCGGUUGCUUUGUCUCCGUUCCCCUGAUUUUAUCACAGAUCUGAGCCUCAAUAUACCCCCAAAAAAGUACUAUUUAUGUUUGAUAAUUUCAAAUUUUGCUUUAAUGAAGUUACAUUUGCUUUAAGUUUUAGUUUGCUGACUCUUUUGUUUAGAAUUUGUACAGGUAGCUAUUAAAGUCAUUAUAUUUUUACAAUUAUACAAUGCCUAUUUUACAUUCACUUAGACUCUUUUGUUUAGAAUUUGUACAUGUAGCUAUUGAAGUCAUUACACAACAACAACCCAGCAUAAUCCGAUUUAGUGGGGUCUGGGUCCGGAGAGGGUAGCGUGUACGCAGACCUGACUCCUACCCUGCUAGAGAGGCUAUUUCCAAAUAGAAAUCCGGCAUCCCUCCAAUAACUUAACACCUUGCUCUUGGGGGAGACUCGAACUCACAACAUCUCGGUUGGAAAUGGGGUUCCUUCUUUAUUGAAGUCAUUAUAUUUUUACAAAUAUAGAAUGCCUAUUUUACAUUCACUUAGAUGAUCAUAUUAUAGAAUUUUUUAUUUAAAACAAAGGAGAUUGGAUUUUGUUUGAAGGAAGUUUUUCUUUUCAGUUAACUAAGGUGAACAUCUGACAUUUUAAGUUUUUUAGGAAAUCGAAAACGAGAAAAAGGACAGGGGGGAAUGUUUAGUUGACCAACUUGGGUAAAAAGAAAAUAUUUACAGUCAUGAGUGCAUAAUCUGUACUACUGAUUAAAGAAGAAAAGUUGUGGUUUUAGUAUAAAUCAAUCUGUAAAAUCCCUCAUAUUAUUCCCUUUAGAUAUUAACUUAAGAUAUAUAUUGAGAAAUGAUCCAACUUUAGAAGAGUAAUGGAAUAUUAAAGUAUUUGUCUUACCUUUAAACCCUCACCUUUUCAUCUUGCUCUUGUCCUCUUUUUCUUUUCUGUUGUUUUCUUUUGUUGAUAGGUGGCGUAAUUUUAUUUCUACCACAUGAACAGAAAUUGGAAUUAGCAACUCAAGAGUAAUCAGUCAAUGGAAACAAUAAAUGAGAAUGAGGUAACAUAGGGAUGAGAAGUAUCUAGGGAUGUUACCUCCAUCUGCAUGCAAAUGAUUACUCACUGUUCCGCUUUCUUUGUCAUUAUAUCGCCCUCACAAAAUCAGUAUCAGCUGGUGCUUAUCUGUAGGCUGUGAUGAUAAAGCUUGUUGAGUUGAUCGGGUUUUGGUAUACUAGACCCGUAUCUUGGCAGGGCAAACCAAGACGCCUUGUAAGCUGAGUAAUGAGUAUUGGAACGAAAUAGAUUGUGAUUCAGGUUGUUGUUGUUGUUGUAUGCUACUCUGGUUUGCAGCCAUGCCGGUGUCCUUUUACUUUACCCGAUUGUGCGACUGAUCUGAGCCUACUUGUGUACUCAACCAAGAAUAAUCAGUCAGAGUGAAAUAUAUGUAAAAACUCUGAGAAUAAGAAUGAGGCAGCAUAGUGAUGCCAGUUUGUAUUGAUGGUUGCCCCAUCUGGAUGCCAAUGAUUUCUCAAUGAUAUGCUUCUGUCAAAGCUGGAACCUUUAUUUAUUGACGAUCUGCUGUGUUCUUGUAAUUUCUGCCUUUAAUUUCGUGGUCAAUAUCGUUUUCCCUUUCAAGAAUCAGAAUCAUAUGAUCAAUAUUAUGAUGCUUUUGUGUAGGCUCUGAUGAUAAACUUCUUGGAUUCAUCGUGUUUGGGUUAAAUGGAGCCAAAACCAGGUCUCUCAUAAGCUUAGAUUAUUGGGUAUUGAAAUAGAGCAAAAUCGAUAUUGAGGAGUCAUAAAGUUGAUCCGGUCGGUUUUGCUAUUGUGGCGUAGUUCUUGUUGUAUUAUGUUAUCAUGGUUUGCAGCUAUGACGGUGUUCCUUUUCUUUACCUGAUUUUAUGUCGUAUCUGCGCCUACAGAUGUUCUCUCCCACUUUAUUGAUAGAUAGGUAUAUUGAUUGAUAGAUAGAUGAAAGUGAUGGAAAUAACUUGUAAAUACAAAUGCAAAUAACUUAAAGAUAUGCUUGGAGAAAGGGGAAGGUAAAUGGGGUAAAAACAUGAAUCUAUUUUGGAUUUGUGAUGACAUUUCUUUGGGCAAGUGACUGAAGAAUUGACUUCACUUGGUGAGGCAGUAAAUACUAAAUAAAAUCCACAGUUGGUAUUUAAUUUUUGUGCUUCUUAUUUUCUCAAUUCUUGAAAUUCCCUUGCCUGUUAUUUUUCUCCUUUUCUUGAUAAAAGUCCUUUGCCUGUAACUUCUCUUGAGUCUUGUCAUAUUGGUUCUAUCUCCUGCAGGUAGUGAUAUCUAGCUACACUGGUGUCUGGUAUUCAGGGCUUCUGCAAUAAUAUGCUCUUAAUUCCCAUUGCUGCUUACACCCGACAUAGUAACUACUAUGAUGGUUAUUGAAUAUAGUAAUUUGACAUAGUUAUCUUUCUUUCUAUGGACAACAGUGCAGCUGGUAGUUACAGUUGGUGAUGCAGUUGGCAAUUUGGAUCAGCCUAUUUGUUGGCUUGAUGAGCUUCUGUGGCAUUGAGAUGAUGAAGUAUGUUUGGUGGAUGUUCAUGAGCUGAAAUUUUCACCGAGUGUAAUGGUUUUCUUUCCCUUUGUUGUUUCACUAAGCCUGACAGUUUUCGGCAAGAAUUUCUGUUGUUUAGAUAUAUAGUUCAUAUUUGUUUCCACAGCACCUUAUCAGACAAUUUAUGAUACCACGAGACAGUUUAUAAUCAAAUCAAAAUUACUCCUUGAACUCAAAUUUUUCCGACAUUGCACAUAGAUAGAUAUUUAUGUGAGAAAUGGUAGAAGUUUGACGAAUAUUGCUUUUUGAACCUAUAAUUCUAAAAGUACAAUAUAUUUCAGUGCGAAAAUCGUAUAUUCACUCCAAACUGUGAUAAUUUCAUGGGGGGGGGGGGGGCCUUUUUGGCNNNNNNNNNNNNNNNNNNNNNNNNNNNNNNNNNNNNNNNNNNNNNNNNNNNNNNNNNNNNNNNNNNNNNNNGGGGGGGGGGGGGGGGGCCUAUUUGGCCGCCUCAUUUAAGCUAUACUUAUAUUUUUAAAAUUAGGUAACCUAUACCCUAAUUUUGACAACUUCAUAAAACAUUUAAAUCAUUUAAUGUUAGAAAGAGAGAUAUAACAUCUCCAGUUAAAUUCUAUUACCAUUUGUUUGUCUCAUCAAUUGUACAAAUUUCCUUUGUCCCUGCUCUUGAAACUUUUGAAUGGUGGUUUGUUUGCAAAUGCCAAAGGGGGAUGAUAAUAAUAAUAAAUAAAAUGAAGAACUACAGAUAAAAACUUUUGAUUUUGUCUAAAGUUUGCACUGCAAAUUAAAGAACUUCAGUCUAAUUUAUUUAAAGUUUGCACUACACACUAAAGAACUUUAGAUUAAUUUACGAAUUGAAGCUUUUUUGAUUGCUUUUGCUGGUCAGGCCAAACUUCAGACGUAAAUUUCUGAAGUUUUACUUUGAUAAGGUCACACUUCAGGCAAAAAAUUUUCUUGUUCAAACUUUAGACUAAAUUCUUGUUACUUCAGGCCCCAUAUGUCUGAAUUUACCCGAAAAAUAGGUACGCUUGUAAAUUUUUUUUGCAAAGUGAGUAUAAGUUAAAUGGUAACCAAAAAAUUGGGUAUAGAUGCAAAUGCCCCUCCAAAUCUAGGAAUGGGUAUCCUAGGUUUGGAGAGGGCAACCCGGUAUCCUCCUUGAUAGGAAUGAUGUUAUUUAUUAGAGCUACUUUCAUUAAUAGCACACUAUUAAAAAUAUAAUACAAAAGAUUAGCUUUAAUUAAUGAUUAACAAAUAUGACAGUAAAAUAGUUAUACAUAUAGCAGAUUUAAUUCAAUUCAAAUCAGAAAGAAUCAACCUGUUUAAAAAGGCAGUCCUAGUAUUUAAUAUAUCCUAUUUUUUCUCUCCAUUCCAUAUCAUGUUUUAUAUUUUUUUUAGAAAUCAAUCCAUUCCAUAACAGAUUUUUCCUUUCCAUACAUGGAGCUUUUUAUAUAAUGUAAUGUAGCAAAUUAUACAUCUUUAUAUUCUAAUAAAAUAAAAUACAUAUAUUUUAUGAAAAAAAUAUAAUGUAUGUUUGUGGUGUAUACAUUACAAAUCAUAUAUUUUUUUUAGGAAAAUUCAUACAUACAUAUAUAUAUAUAUAUAUAUAUAUAACAAGGUAAAUCAAUAAGAAAUAUNNNNNNNNNNNNNNNNNNNNNNNNNNNNNNNNNNNNAUUUAAUUAUAUAUCAUCGAUAAAUUCCAUAACAUCAUCAUGGUUCUGAACUUUCGACAAUAAUCGGAAGUACAUGUAUAUAAGGGGCCGUGUAUGUAUUCAGCCUAUUAUUACCAUUGUUCUUAUUGUUAUUGUAGCGGAUGAGGCUGUGAUGAUUAAGAUUGUCUAGAGUUCGUGUCGGGGCAAUGGAGCAGCCCGUAUCUUGGCGGGCUGACCCCGGAAAGGCCUAUUUUUACAAUGCAACUGAUGGUUGCAGCCAUGGCGGUUGCAUUGUCUUCUUCACCCCGAUUUUAUCACAGAUUUGAGCCUCAAAANNNNNNNNNNNNNNNNNNNNNNNNNNNNNNNNNNNNNNNNNNNNNNNNNNNNNNNNNNNNNNNNNNNNNNNNNNNNNNNNNNNNNNNNNNNNNNNNNNNNCCCCCCCCCCCCCUCAAAUAAUAAUAAAAAAUAAAAUUCCUUUAAUGAAGUUACAUUUGCUUUUCAUUUUAGUUUAGAAAUUUCUGUAAAGAUAGUGAUUGAAGUCAUUAUAUUACAAUUUACAUAUGUACAGUGCCUUUUUUCCCGUCAUGUAGAUGAUUACAUAAUAAACAGUUUUGUCUUUUUUUAAAUAAAGGUGAAUAGAUUUGUUUCAAGAAAGUUUUUGUUCCAAGUUAAAAUUCUCUGAUAUUUUGGACUAAAAUGGUGAAAGAAUGGACUUUUGUGUUGAAAGAUUUUCUCACGAACUCUAGACUGAAAGAAUGAGGCGGUGGGGAGUCUUUAACGGUGGUUGCCCUCUCUCUGUUUUCUGCCUAUGAUUUCCUUUUCCAUUUUGCUGUACUAAUAAACCACCAUUGUUGAAAAUGGACAUAGAUUGCCCCUUAAACUUGCAACUGUUAAAAUCCCAAUUUUACAGUUUAGGGUUUACUGUCUGACCCCAUAAUCUGCUUAUGCUUCUUCACUUCUUUCCUCAUUUUCCUCUUCCUCUUCCUCAUGGCGGGCUUUUACUGUGACAGAUGAUGAAGCUGUGAUGAUAAAAGGUGUUUAGAGCUGGAUCAGGCAUUGAAACGACCCGUAUCUUGGCAGGGUGACCCGGAAGGCAUCUUCAUGGUUGCAACCGAGGUAUGCAGCCAUGGAGGUUGCAUUGUCUCUGCUGAUCUUAUCACAGAUCUGAGCCUCAAAAUUGAGGGGUUUAUUUGGCCCUUUUCCCUUUUAAAAAUGGAUGGAGACCAAAAUUGUUAGAUUUUUUUUUGUAUAUUAAAGGACCAUCAUAAACCUCCUCAAAGAUGACGGAUCAAUUUUCUCAAGAGAAGUGUAUGCUUUUUACGUACUGUCGGACUAUUUGAUCAUUUUCUGGAAAAUCUGCUAUAUUACCCUCCAUUUGAAUUGGAUUAGACCAGAAAUGAGAGAAUGAGGCAACAGAGCGUAUGGGAUUUUUUUACAAGGGUGGUUGCCCGUCUCUCUACCCUUUCGGGUAUGGGUAAGGCUCGUCUACAUAUUACCCUCCCCAGACCCCACUUUGUGGGACUAUACUGGGUAGUUGUUGUUGUUGGUGGUGUUAAAAUAGAAAAAGAGAAAGAGAGAUGAUAGCACUUCAGUUUCUGGGUUUCUUUGCAUUUUUGCACCCUAAAUGCAUACUCAAACCCAAUACAUACAACUAUGCUACCUCAGAUCUUAAAGAGGCAGUGGUGAUGAUGUUUCUUAUAUCUGGGCUAACUGAUUUGGAUUUGAGAUGACCCAAUCCGUAUCUUGGCAUGGCACGUCGGUAUGGCCUGUGAUUGGGAGUUGAGACUUCCACCUCACAUGCAAUUGGUGUUGCAGCCAUGGCGUGGUUGGCUUCUCUUUUGCCUUAUCAUAACAACAAAUCUGAGCCUCAAUUUGCUGAAGAAAAACAUUGGGUGUGUUUGGUAUGAAGGAAAAUCUUUUCUGAAAAACACUUAUUUUUGGUGUUUGGGAAUGUGCAGAACAUAUUGCCUAAAGAGCAUUUAAUGUGAUGGAUGAAGAGGCUGUGAUGAUUAAAGGUGUCUAGGGUUGUGUUGGGCAUUGGAGCGACCCGUAUCUUGGUGGGGCAACCCCGAAGGUCUGUUUGAUAGAGGUCUGCAGCCAUGGCGGUGUAUCUUGGCGGGGCAACCCCAAAGGUCUGUUUGAUAGAGGUCUGCAGCCAUGGCGGUUGCUUUGUUUCCGUUGCCUGAUUUUAUUCUCAGAUCUGAGCCUCAAAAUUGAAGCAAUUACUGCAUUUGUUACCCAGUUAAGUUUAACUGGAGUGUUGAAGAAAACUCUUGUGAAUUAAAAGUUUACUUGUAGAUCUGGCUAUUUUUGAAUUUCUCCCAAAAUAGUAGUCCAACCUGUAUACACUAAGAACUAUUUUGAUCAUUUUCUCGAAAACGUGCUAUAUUAGUAUUGAGACGGCGCGAAUGAGGCUACAGAGAGUACGAGAAGUUUUACAAGGGUGGUUGCCCCAUCUCUGACAAGAGGGGUUGCUUUGAUGGUAAGCAACCCCCACUUCCAACCGAGAGAUUAUGAGUUCGAGUCUCCCCAAGAGCAAAAAUGAGGCUACAGAGAGUACGGGAUUUUUUACAAGGGUGGUUUUCCCUCUCUGCUUUGCCUAUGAUUAUCCUUUUUUAAACAAACCAACAACCCUUGAAAAGAAAGAAGAAAGAGAGAGAGUACUAUACCACACUACAACUAUGCGACUUUCAGAUCUUAAAAGAGGCAGUGAUGAUGAUGAUUCUUUUCUAUUUCUGGGCUAACUAAUUCGGGCAUGGAGAUUACCUGACCCGUACCUUGGCGUGGCAACCCGGCAUGGCCUGUGAAUGAGACUCCUCUCUCUCACACAUGCAACUGAUGUUCAAUGUUUUGCAGCCAUGGCAUGGUUGGCUUCCCUUUUGCCUUUCCAUGACACAAAUCUGAGCCUCAAUUUGAAAAAAAUUUAUCUUUUUGCAUUAUCUUCUGGGGGAUGAGGCUGCGAUGAAAUGUCGAAAGGUGUCCAGAGUUGGUCCGGCAUUGGAGCAGCCCGUAUCCUGGCUGGGCGUCCGGGAGGCAUGGUUGCAACCGGGUCCGGAUGGUGGUUGCAUUUUCUACAUUGAUUUUAUCACAAAUCUGAGCAUCAAACUUGAAGUAAAAGCAUGUUUGGCUUAGCUGAAUUUAAGUAGCUUUUAAACGCAUUUUUUAAGAGGAUGUUUGGAUGGGCUUAAAAAAAGUUUGUUUCUGUGUUUGGCUUCGUAGACUUUGUUGUGGUGUACAAAGAAACAGCUGGGCUACUGGUGAAUGAUUCUGUUUUUUGCAAGGUAAAAAAUAACGUGUUAUAUGGUUUUGUACUGGUUAAAACUCAACACUUCUAAUUUGUUUCCUCUUUAUAUAACAGCCCCUGGGAACAUCAUUGACGGAACUCACGUUUUUCAUCAAAUGAUAUCUCUUUUUAUUUUUCCUGCUGAAUUCUUUGUUCAAGGUACUACCUAUCCAUAUUUUGACUGGGCAUCCCAAUAUGACCUGAGAUUGAGAAUCUUCUCUCUUGCAAACAACCUUUGUUUUGCAGCCAUGGCAUGGAUUUCAUCUCUUUGCCUGAUGAUAACAUGAUGAUAACAUAGAACUGAUCCUCAAUGUUAAGAAUAUAUAAUAUUAAGUAAUAAAACAUAACGGGAUUAUAUUUAUAAUGUCUAUGAUAAGAAAUAACCUUAUUAAAAAAGUACUCCUAUAUGAUAACAAAUAAUCAAUUCUUAGGAACGGUAAUGUACUCACUCAGUUAUUAGGUGACAUUUGAGAUUUUGCCUUCAUAGCCGCACCUUUCAUCUUCUCUGUUCCUUUUUUUUCUUUUUUCUAUUUUGUUGACAGCUGCUCUGGUCUUAUUUCUACACCAUAAACAGAAACUGGAAUACUCUACUCAAGAACAGAAUGAGGCUGCAUAUGGAUGGAAAGUUUCUAAGGAUGCUGCCUUCCAUCAGCAUGCCUGUGAUAUCUCUGUAUUCUGCUACUGACAAAGCAGCACCCCUUCUUUCAUGCUUAGCUAGCGCUCUAAUGGUUAUUCACUAUCUUUCAUAUUUCUCACACUAUGUGCUUCUUCUUUCUUGGUCCAUAUCUUUUCCUUUUCACAAAUCUCAAUCACUAUGAGCAAUAUUGCUGUUUCUUAUCUGUAGGCUGUGAUGAUAAAGUUUCUUGACCUUAUUGGGUUUGGGUUCAUAUCCUGGCUGGUUUAACCAGGAUAUUGUAAGCAGAGUCUUUCCUUUCUAGCAUGCAAUCCUUGUUUGCAGCCGUUGUGGUGCCCCUUUCCUUCACCUGAUUUUAUGACAGAUCUGAGCCUGCUUAUAGAUAUCUUAAAAUAGAUGAAAAUAACUUCCUGAAGAAAGAGAAGGACAAUGGUGAAUAAAAGUGAAAACUACUUUCCCUUUUGAUGAAAAAGGAAUGGUUAGAUUCUUAAUGCAGACUUACACGGGUUUUCGGUUAAAAGUUCUCUUGUUGGAUUAGCCCAGAAAAUUCAUUGGGUUUGGGUCUGCUGGACUCAUAUCUGACGGGGUAAACCAGGAUAUUGCAAGCAGAGUCUUUCCUUUCUAGCAUGCAAUCCUUGUUUGCAGCCAUUGCGGUGUCCCUUUCCUUCACCUUAAUUUAUGACAGAUCUGAGCCUGCUUAUGUACUCAUGAGUGUCACUUCUAGAUAGAUAUCUAAAAAUAGAUGGAAAUAACUUUUAGAUAUUCCUGGAGAAAGAGAAGGACAAUGGUGAAAAAAAGUGAAAACUACUUUCCCUUUUGAUGAAAAAGGAAUUGUCAGAUUUUUAAUGCAGACUCACUGCUUUCACUUAAAUGUUCUCUUGUUGGAUUAGCCCAGAAAAUGGCGAGAAUGAGGCAACAGAGAAUAUGGGUUUUUCUUUCAAGGGUGGUUGCCUCUCUGCUUUGUCUAUGAUUUUCCCCCUUCUCAACUAACCAACAGCCCUUAAGAGACAGAAAGAGAAAACAUAGCACUUCAGUUUCUGGUUUUCUGGAUGACAAUUUGUGAAAUUUCCCCAAUAUGCAAGUAUACCACGACAAUUCAACAGCCUUCAGAUCUUCAGUCUUUCUGCUCAUGGUCCUUUGCAUGUUUCUUUCAGUUUACUCUCACUGUCUCAUUGUUAAUGCAAACUUGAAACUGUUCCAUUAUGAUGCGUUUUACUACAGAAAUGGACUGUGAUGAUCCUUAUGAAUCUUUCUAUUUUUGGGCUCAUUAUUGACCAUUGAGAUAACACGACCCGUAUCUUGGCAUGGCACCCGGGACGGCCAGUGAUUUAAAACUACUCUCUCUCUCUCUCUCUCUCUUUCUCUCUCAUGCAACCGGUGUUGCAGCCAUGUCGUCGUUGGUUUCUCUCUUGCUUGUCAUUAUAUGCGUCUGAGCCUCAAUUUGCUGAAGAACAUUAGUAGGUGUUUGGACAAAUAUUAAGUUGAAGUUGAGAUAUUCUUUUAAAUGCAGACUUGUCUCUUUGGUUAAUAGCUCUCAUCUUAAUGAACUAUGUUUAAUAGAUUAGCCCAAGAAUGGUGAGAAUGAGGCAGCAGAGAGUAUGGGAUUUUUUACAGGGUGGUUGCCCGUUGCCCCUCUCUGUUUUUCUAUGAUCCUCCCUUUUUCAACAAACCAACAAACCGUUAAAAAGAAAGAGAGGCAUAUAAUAGCACUUCAGUAUUUCGGUUUCUUUGCAUUUUGCACCCUCUUAAUGUAUACUCUCACGACUAUACAACAACAACUACGCAGCCUUCAGAUCUUUUAAAGAGGCAGUGAUGAUGAUUUUUUCAUUAUCUGGGCUAACUAAUCCAGGAAUGGAGAUAACCCGACCCUUAUCUUGGCGUGGCAACCCGGUAUGGCCUGUGAUUGAGACUCUUCUGUCUCUCACACGUGCAACCGGGUUUUGCAGCCAGGGCGUGGUUGGCCUCUCUUGUCUUUGACAUUACAACACAUCUGAGCCUUAAUUUGCUAAAGAAAUUAUUAUCUUUUCCAUCCCCACUUAUGGGAAUAUACUUGGUUUGUUGUUGUAUAUUGAUGUGGAAAUAUUACCCACGCCUUUUUGUUGAAAGUUUUAAUGCUUUUAGGUUUGGAAUCCCAUGUUUUAUCAGUAAUUGGAAUUCACUAUAUGAUCUUCCAUCUAUACUAAUUCCCUUAGCCCAGAAAUGGCGAGAAUGAGGCAACAGAGAAUACAGGAUUUCUUUCAAGGGUGCUUGCCCCUCUUUGCUUUGUCUAUGAUUCUCCCUUUUCAACAAACCAACAGCCGCCCUUAAAGAGUUGGUAAAAAUCAGAGAAAACACUUCCAUUUCUGGGUUUCUUUGCAUUUUUGCACCCUCUGUUUGGACAGGCACCUUGUAAUUGGAUUUAGGGUGUAAAUGUGUGAUUUUUUAUUGUUUGUGUGGCCAAGUAAUACUAGGUCAGCAUGGAUUUGGGUAUAAUUGCACAACUAUACUAUGACCUUCAGAUCAUCAGUCUGUCUCCUCGUGGCUUUGAGAACUCAUUAAAGAGGCAGUGAUGAUGAUGUUUCUUAUAUCCGGGCUAAGCAAUUCGGGCAUGGAGUAACGUGACCAUAUAUUGGCGUGGCAACUCAGUAUGGCUUGUGAUUGAUACUCCUUUCACAUGCAACCGGUGUUUUGCAGCCACAACGUGGUCGGCUUCUCUUUUGCCUUGUCAUGACAGAUCUGAGCCUCAAUUUUCUGAGGAAAAUAUCUCUUCCUUAAUUUGAUGUGGGAGACAUCGAACCCCCAGAACGAGGCUACGGAAUGAGAUUUCUUUCAAGGGUGGUUUCCCAUCUCAGCUUUGUCUGUGAUUCUCCAUGUUUAAACAAACCAAUUUAAAAAAGAAAAAGAGCACAGUUCAGUUUCUGCAUUUCCUUGCGUUUUUGCACCCUUUAUGUGUACUCAAAACACACCUUCAGAUCAUCAGUCUGUCUCAUGGCUUUGAAAGCUCGUAAACAGGCAGUGAUGAUGAUUUUUUGUAUCUGGGCUAUUUAAAUCGGGCAUGGAGAUUACCUGCCCCAUACCUUGGCGUGGCAACCCUGUAUGGCCUGUGAUUGAGACUCUUCUCACUCAUGUGUCACUGCUGUUUUGCAGCCAUGGGAUGGCUAGCUCCUGUUUUUCCUUAUCAUAACACAUCUAAGCGCAAAGCUGAUCUAGGAUUUGAACUUUGGGGGUUCGAGUCCAAGAUUUUACAACUCAUUUGAUAUACUGUGUUGAAAAACAAGUAUUUGUUCUUAUUUAGUAAACUUUUUAACACAUUUAGAGGGUUUGAGUCAAAGCUACUAUUCAGAGGAACCCGUGCCUAAACCUCUCUUUCCGCCUUGACUCAGCCUCAAUAUACUUUUUUUCCCCUUCCUGAAAUGACAUUGGCCAGUUAUUUAAGUCGUUUUCUCUUUCGCAUACAAAUGAUGUUUUUGCAGCCAUGGCGUGGUUAGCUUUUCUUUGCCUGAUCUUUUCUGCAGAUCUGAGCCUCACAUUUUUGUGUCAGCUGCAUUUUCUUAUUUAAUACACAUAUUGCACCGGUUUUUUUUUAAAUCUUCAGAUGUCUGAAUAAAAGAAUGAGGCAAUAUAGGUGUCAAAAUGAGUAUAUUUCUUUAGAGAGGUUGUUCAUGUUUAUUUAUUUUUUAAAAAUCUUUUCUAUGUGAUAAUUGCUUUAAUUUAAAAGAAUAAAUUUUAGUCCUGCAGAGUUGUAACUUUGUUUUCUCUCUGUCUUUGAUGGCCUUUGUGUGUAUCUUCUAUGUUGUUAUUCUGUGUUCCCCUGGCUUUUGAGUUCGAACAGCUUUUGCUUGGAGUACACGUAAAUGGGACUGUGAUGAUACUUCAAGUACCUUCUUUUCUGGGCUAAUCAAUUUGCAUGGAGAUGACCAGACCUGUUGGCUUGGCAACUCAAUGUGGUUUGUGUUAAGGUUUCUCUCUCUCAUGCAACCUUUGUUUUGCAGCCAUGAUGAGGUGGGCUUCUCUUUUCCUUGUUCUAAGAUAGAUUUGAGCCUCAAUUUGCUUAGAAAACAAACCUUUUCCUUGGUUCAAUGCAGGGUUAUGAUCUAGCAUGCAUCCUUCAGGUUAUUAUAAAGUUCGAAGAGAAAGCAUUUUGUUGUAGUGUUGCACCACGCUGGUGUUGAAUUGUCUGUUCGUGUCUGUGUUUUCAAUAAGCAUCAAAACCAUGAGUUUCAAGCAAUCAUGCCUCAAUCUUGAAAACAGACCCGUGUCUCUCUGUCUUGAGUACAUAUCUCAGCCGCAGCUUUCUUCAAUAUUUCUAGUUUCGUUUACCUUUUAGUUUUCAGAACUACAGCUAGUGAAAGAAAAAUUGGAAAAAGUUAAGCAAAAGAUUAAGUCUUUUAAAGUUCAUUUCAAAAGUUUUGGGUAGAAAUUCUCCAUUCGUAUCUAAAAGAUGCUAUUUUAUUCUAUAUAGCAAUUACCAUAGAGUGGAAAUGCACUAUUUUGAGUGUUAAAGCUGGCCCCCUAAAUCCUAAAUAGUAAGACAAUAAGGGGAACACCCAAAACGGAUCAAAGUUUUUAUUUUUGUGACACGAAUUAGAAAUGAGAUUUUUGUUCUCCUUUUUGACUUUUGACAUGAAUUUAGUCAUAAUUAAUAUACAAGGGGAUUGCCCUUUUUAUUCAAUCUACUGGAUCUUAGAUCUCACUAAUUAACAGCCACUUCAUGAGCAAAUUUCAGUUGGAACCUCGUUAACUUAGUGUAUGAUUGACUUUCUGUCAGUUCUGCAGUGAUGAGGUUCCAAAGCCCUACUCGUAACUUCAAGAUUAUUGAAGCUCCAUUUCUUACUGCUGAUAUUACAUGAAAAAUGUUGCAAGGGCUUUGGUCUAGUGGCAAGGAUACAACACGGGAUGAAUGAGUUAGCCACAGUUCAUGGGUUUGAAUCUUGCCACAGACAAUAACCUGGUAUGUAAGUGGAGAAAGGUAGUGUAACCUGAUUUAGAGACUAGGAAUCGUUUAUUAGGAGAUAGUUAAAUUGCUUGCAAUGUGUGGAAUUAUUUUAAUAAUGCAUGUGGUGUACCUUUUUGCCAAAGGUAAUCUGAGAUAUACUUUGAUACAAUGGUGGUUGAGCAGAAGAAACAAAAUGGUGGACGCAACUGUCAAGCAGUGUUUACCUUCAAUAGUGUACUGGGAGACCUGGAAAAGUAGAUGCAGUGCAGGAUUUGGGGGAACACUGCUACUGCUGCAAAAAUUAUUAACCAGGUGUGUUAUUUGAUGAAGUUACUAUAAUUUCUUCAUUCCCCUCUCUUACCUUUUAUGACUAUUGGAUAGAAGUGUAUAACAUGGUAGACAUGGUGAAACAGAAGUUAAGUGAAUUAGUUAAGUUGGGAGAAACCACUCAACCAGUGGAGGUGGGGGUUUAAGCUCAAUAUUGAUGGUUGCUUUAAACGUAACCUGGGAAUUGAGAUGCUGGUGGAAUUGUAAGGAACAAGCCGGGGAAAUGGUAUGGCUUUUGCAGAUUACUCUGGUUGCCGCACUAAUAAUCUAGUAGAAGCAAGGGCAAUGUUAACGGGGGCUUGGAUGGUGAGUUCAGUAUGGUUUUCUUGAUUUUGUCAUUGAAUCUGACUCUUGCAAUCAGUGGCGGAGCCAUAUUGACCCAAGGGGUCUCCUUCGCUGGAAAUUUACACUAUAUUACUACAUAAGUUUUUCUAUUUUAGGUAUAUUUACUAUACGUUAGCUCUCCUUGACUUUUCGAUGUAUCUAAUUAUUUAUAUUGACACCCGUUUCAUGAAAAUUCUGGCUCCGCUGUAAUUGUAAAGAUGGUAAGACGUGAAUGUAGUGUUUUGUGGCAGAGUCAAGGAUGUCAAUAACCAAAUCCAACAUUUAUGUACACAAGGCAGGUUCAUUAUUAUACUGUUACCGGAAAUUCAAUUUUGUUGCUGAUCUUUGGCUAAUCAGGGUGAAAAGACAAGUGAACAUUCUUCGAUCAGGCUGUCCAGAUGAGAGCCAUCUUGAAGAAUGAUCAAAGUGGUUUGAUGGGACGUGUUCAGUUCGGAUCAGGCCAAGCGUCAUUUCUCCACUGACCAUGGCUAGGGUACUCAUUCUAUUUACUGUAAUGUGUAAAAAAAAAAUCUUAUUCUUUUUUGUUAACUUUAAAGUGUAAGAGAGAUGUCCUCAUUUUCUUACAUGGCUAAGGCAGGCAAGGGGUGUACAUGGACCGGGUUAGUUCGGUUUUUAUUAAAACCCAACCAAAUCAACUAUAUUGGGUUGGAUUGGUUCGGUUUUGUCGGAUUUUUCGAUUUUGUUUUUGUUACAUAACUAUUAUUUUAGUCUUACUUUAUUAAACUUUUUAUAAGUAAAUAUAUGUCAAGUAAAAAUUGACGAACAUAUGCUCUAUUGUUAUAAACUAAAGCAAAAGACAAGAACAAUAGAACAAGAACAAUAGCAAUAGAGAGA
rnacentral:lncRNA from 1 species